rnacentral:rRNA from 1 species
AGCUCCAAUAGCGUAUGUUAAAGUUGUUGCGGCUAAAAAGCUCGUAGUUGGAUUUCUGUUGAGGACAUCUGGUCCGCUCUAUGAGCGUGCAUCUAGUUUGGCCUCGGCAUCCGUUCUGCAGACGUUUCUGCGCUUGAUUGCGUGGAGCGGAGGUAGGACCUUUUACUUUGAGGAAAUUAGAGUGUUCACGGCAGGCAUUCGCCCUGAAUAUAUUAGCAUGGAAUAAUAACAUAGGGUCUUGGCUCUAUUUUGUUGGUUUCUAGGGCUAAGAUAAUGAUUAAUAGGGACAAUUGGGGGCAUUCGUAUUGCGGUGUCAGAGGUGGAAUUCUUGGAUUACUGCACGACGAACUACUGCGAAAGCAUUUGCCAAGGAUGUUUUCA